rnacentral:sRNA from 1 species
UCUAAAAAAUUUAAAGAAUCUCUAAGAUCCUCCUGUUAAAAAUAAAAAACUAAGUAAAAAAUAGUACUUCACUGCUAGUCCAUUUUAUGUACAGAAAAAAUAAAAUUAGGUUAUGAAGAAAACUGAUUCGUAAAUGCCACAAAGCAACGUUGUUUCUUUCUGGAAGACGGAAAGUACUCAGUGGCAGAGCACUUACCUAGCACACAUGAAGGUCAAAGUUUGAUCCCCAGAAAAAAGUCAGGUCCAUAUUAUAUCAACAGACAUCGGAUAAAGACAAUACAUCUUAUAUGUGCAGUGGAGCUCUACUCAGCCAUAAGAAAAGAGUUCUGAUACAUGCUACAACAUAAACUUUGAAGAGACCAGUAGUGUGAGAUUUCAGUUGUCUGAGGUUUUUAGAGCAGUCAAACUCAUACACCUAGGAAGUGCAGUGGUGAUUAUUAGGGGCUGAAUGGAAGAGGAAAAUGGCAGGUCGCUGUUGUGAGUAAAGCUUCCCGUUGCUAUGGUGACAACACCCUGGGGAUGACAAUGGGGACAGCUACAGACGCCACAGAACUAUGCUAAGAAGUGGGUAAACUAUGCUGGACAUGCCUCUAAUCCCAGCUCAGGAGGCUUCGGACAGAGGGCUGCAAGUUCAAAGCCAGCCUGAGGGAACCAGAAGCUGAAAACAGGUUAAAACACGCCAUGUAUAUUCUGCUACUCUACUCAUGAUCCUCCUGCUUCAGCCUCCUUAGGACUCACUAGGGGCACAUGUGCUCUGUAAGAAAUGUUACUUAUUUACCUUAGGAGUCCUAGUAUUCUUCACUCUUAAGACACUAAAACCAAUAGAAAAAUCCAGAAAAGUCCGGGCAGAGGUCAACAUUCUAAAAAUUACAGUUACUAAUGUCUGUGUUACCUUCUAAGCAGGGGCAACACUGGGGGAAACUCUUAGUUAGCAAUAACAAAACACUUGGCAACUGUGAAACACACCAGGAGGAGAAAAAUGGGUCUAAAAUCAAAGCAGACUUUCCUUAAAUGAUGUCAGUUACCCAAAGGGCUCACCCAAGCACUCUAGGAACUGCGGCUAAGGGUGUGGGGAAAGGGGACAAUUUUAGACCAUCAUAAGUGAGUUGAAUUGGAGUUACCCUACAGGGGGGUGGGUGGAGAAAUAUGCUCAUUCCGAAACCCUCAGGUUGUCAAAUAAAAAGUCCACACCUGGAGCUCAUCCGGAUCCUGCCCAGCCACAAGAUCACCCUGACCCGGGUAACCACAGGAUAUCCAAGAUGAGUCUCUGCAGUAGUCCAGUAUUUACCAGAAAACUUGAACCAGAUCAUGGAUUACAAUCUUAUCGAAGGCAGAGACUGCGGCUGGUGUCUGAGUGGACAACCCAGAAAAAGGAACAUCAGGUUAGAGGGGACCCCCCACUACCCUCCAAGCAGAGUUCAGCCAUGUACUUCCCGAAUAUUGCAGUCUUCAAUGAUGGCUUUUAAAUAAUUCAGAUUCCGCUCUAAUGAAGCGCAGAGAUCACCAUUAACUGGCUCUGAGCCACUAGACAGAAAAUGAAGUGAAAGGGCUGAACCCAAGAUGGCAGCAGGAGAAAGAACCAGAUGGCAUGGUGAACAAUCCCGGCGUGAGGGCGUCCUACCGGUAAAGACAGCAGCCUAGGAAAUCAAGAGAAAAACCAAAGCUCUCAAACAAACAAGAGACUUCUUAGCGAUUUCAUGGUCUGCACACGUGAAGACUUGGGUCUAGGUCUGGGCUGGCUUAACUAUUUCAUUUCAUCCUACACAUCCCUCUAGCGAGUCUAUCAGAUCUUUUCUUUUUAUCAAAUGGCAAAACAAAAGGACACCAAUGGAAUAGAGUACUGACACGGCAUGUGAGUGCCCCCCAACCCCCCGAGGAAAACAAGUGUGUAUAUGAUGCAUGGUAACAACGCACAUGAUAAACACACACACACACACACACAGAGAGAGAGAGAGAGAGAGAGAGAGAGAGAGAGAGAGAGAGAGAGACUGUUUCUUCCUUCCAAAAGGCCUCUCACAUCAGCAAAUCUUUCUAGAGCCCCAAACAGUUGGUCAAUACAGCAAGUUCAGGAUUCAGGCCUAACCUGCGGCGCUUAGAACCUGCUCUCUGUGAGCUAGUGGAGUUCUCUCUUUAUAGACACGUGCGGUGAGAGCUGGGGCCUUUUAAGAUCGAUACAUUUUUUAAAAUGUAAGCCGAGUGGUUGUCAGCUGUGGGGAAACAGCCUCCUGCUGCAGGCUCUUCUGCAAGCUGGCGAGCUCCUUCCAUGUAUGGAAGUGGACGCACACUGUAAAACCUCAGGCAGGAGUCUGGACAGGCUGAUGGGGGCUGGGGGGUGGGGGUGGCAUUCCUUCCAGGAGGGCCUGAACUGACCAAAAGGGUCGGCAACAGGGUUCCCUUGUUUGGAGGAACUGAGAACUCUUCAGUGGAAAGGCUGCAAGGGCAGAAAUAAAAAAAGCAGAAAAAUGAGGGCGCAGAAUACUCCAAGAAGGUGUCCAACACGCAGAGGGUCUAAACCUAGGUGCAAGAGCCUCGCUAGCUGAGUGCUGGAAGGCAAGGCCCUGCAGCUCGCGCGCAUGCGCACUGACCUCAGCCCCCUGGAAUGCAGAAUCCUCCACAACUCGCCAUCCAUCACCAGAACUCCCUCAAGGCCAGCUCUAAGAAGGGUAGCUUCUGGUUUGUUUUGUUUCUGUGGUCUGAGAAACUCGAGGCAGUUACUUCUUGCCAGGGCACGUCUCAGGCUUGCCAGAAAGUUUAAGUCAAGCUGCCAGGCGGCAGUAGAUACAAGUUUGAGCCCCACAAGUGUUACUGAUGGGUGACUCUGAGCAAGGCACUUGAUGACAAUGGGGGCAGAGGGUUUAUCCUGUGAGGCUUUAGAGAUAUGGCGGGCACAAAG